rnacentral:rRNA from 1 species
GAUGAACGCUGGCGGCGUGCCUAAUACAUGCAAGUCGAGCGAACGGACGAGAAGCUUGCUUCUCUGAUGUUAGCGGCGGACGGGUGAGUAACACGUGGAUAACCUACCUAUAAGACUGGGAUAACUUCGGGAAACCGGAGCUAAUACCGGAUGAUAUUUUGAACCGCAUGGUUCAAAAGUGAAAGACGGUCUUGCUGUCACUUAUAGAUGGAUCCGCGCUGCAUUAGCUAGUUGGUAAGGUAACGGCUUACCAAGGCAACAAUGCAUAGCCGACCUGAGAGGGUGAUCGGCCACACUGGAACUGAGACACGGUCCAGACUCCUACGGGAGGCAGCAGUAGGGAAUCUUCCGCAAUGGGCGAAAGCCCGACGGAGCAACGCCGCGUGAGUGAUGAAGGUCUUCGGAUCGUAAAACUCUGUUAUUAGGGAAGAACAUAUGUGUAAGUGACUGUGCACAUCUUGACGGUACCUAAUCAGAAAGCCACGGCUAACUACGUG